rnacentral:misc_RNA from 1 species
AAGUCGUAACAAGGUUUCCGUAGGUGAACCUGCGGAAGGAUCAUUAACACUUUUAAAUCUUUCGAAAAAAGAGAUUUAUCUCUCUUUUUUUCAUUCUAUCCAACUUAUUGAAGUGCUGGUGAGAAGCUUCUGCUUCUCCACUUUUUUUUUCAAAACCCCAUUCACAAAACACUUACAAAUUUGACUAACCAAAAAAUUUAAAAAAAAAAAUAAGCCAAACAACUCUUAGCAACGGAUAUCUUGGCUCUC